AUGUGCGUGGCCAGCACAAAGCGAAUUAUUCUUGCGCCUUCUACUAAAGUUCAUCGUGUGCCCGCCACAUUAAGCAGUCUAUGCUAAUUUUUAAAUGCAGGACAGUUUUCUAUCAU